rnacentral:lncRNA from 1 species
GGGGCUCGGGGCCGGGCCGCGCCCCUUCCGGCGGCCGCUGCCGGAACCGCGGAGCGGAGGGGGCGGACGGGCCCGGGACACCGCCUCGCCUUGCGCUGCCGCUGCCGCUCCCUCCCGCCCCGUCCUGUCCCCUCAUGGCGCUGGAGCGGACGGGCACCGGCCCCUCCCGCCGCCCGCUCCGGCCUCCCCCGCCCCUGUCUCCUCUUGGUUCGCCGGGCAUGUGAGCGGGGCCGUGACCGCAGAAACCUAACUUCAAAAUACUUAAGAAGUGAAUGCCUCUGGAUUUUGGAACAAAAUUGGGAGUUUAUAUGGAAGAAAUGCUGCUGCGACUGUUCUCAAACUCUAUUACAGACUGAUUUCAACUGUUGCAUCAUUUUUUGUUGAGAAGUUCUACUCCUCGUUGAUCAAUGUGAC